UACGGAUGGAGGUGCGAGUCGUUUGGAUUCGAAUCUGGGCGUAAAGCGCACGUAGGCGGACUGUUAAGUCGGGGGUGAAAUCCUGGGGCUCAACCUCAGAAUUGCCUCUGAUACUGGCAGUCUCGAGUGCGGGAGAGGUGAGUGGAAUUCCCAGUGUAGAGGUGAAAUUCGUAGAUAUUCGCAAGAACACCAGUGGCGAAGGCGGCUCGACGUGGCCCGAU
rnacentral:rRNA from 1 species